GCGGGGUCAGCUAAUGUAUAGGGUAAAACUAUUAUAUAUUGUAACUAUUUUAAAAAGUGAGGCAUCUAUCCCAGUUUUACUCUUUACAUAUAAAUUAUUUUGUAUAUUAUGUAAUUUUACAAAACACUAAAUCGAGGUAUAACGCCACACUACAGAUGUAUAAUAUUAGUGCGCGUUGUAACUUUGUCUUAUCAUUCUAGAAAAGAUAUUAAUAGCGACAGCUUUAAAUAAUAGUUUACCUAUUUGUGUCACUUUAACGUAUUAUAAAAAAGAGGAAAUAUAUGUGCUUGAGGAAAUAUAAGUACUUAUUAAUUGUUUUAAAUACAAUAAUACUAAAAUUAUUAAUCCUUUAAAUAUUUACAAAAAUUUACAUGGAUUAAAAUUGUAUAAAAUUAUUUAAAGUUAUAAUUAGGAUUAACAUAAAUAAUAUUAUACAUUUUAUUAGAUAUAUUUACAAGGAAAUAUCUCUUAAAAAAAUAAUAAUAGUUUAAAACAAACACGCUUUUAUAUAAAUAAACCAAACUAAGACGGAAUAAUCUUAUCAAAUUAGUGUAUUUUCAUCGGUUCUCGAUAAGUUUAAAUUAAAUCUAACGGUCUGAAGUGGGUCAAAAUGAAGUCCAAAGGAGUCGGUUACAAACAUACAAACAUACAAAUAUACAGGUGAAGCUAAUAAAAAGCGUGUAAAAACUUGAAAUUAUGAUUAUUAAGUAAGUAAACAGACAUUAAAAAUAAUUGUGUUUACUCGU
rnacentral:misc_RNA from 1 species